AACCACUAUUCACACUUCCUUG
rnacentral:miRNA from 10 species